UACGUAGGGUGCAAGCGUUGUCCGGAAUUAUUGGGCGUAAAGAGCUCGUAGGCGGUUUGUCGCGUCGAAUGUGAAAACCCGGGGCUCAACCCCGGGCCUGCAUUCGAUACGGGCAGACUAGAGUUCGGUAGGGGAGUCUGGAAUUCCUGGUGUAGCGGUGAAAUGCGCAGAUAUCAGGAGGAACACCGGUGGCGAAGGCGGCUCUCUGGAACGGUACUGACGCUGAGACGCGAAAGCGUGGGGAGCAAACAGG
rnacentral:rRNA from 1 species